CAAGUCGAACGGCAGCACGGGAGCAAUCCUGGUGGCGAGUGGCGAACGGGUGAGUAAUACAUCGGAACGUGCCCUGUCGUGGGGGAUAACUAGUCGAAAGAUUAGCUAAUACCGCAUACGACCUGAGGGUGAAAGCGGGGGACCGUAAGGCCUCGCGCGAUAGGAGCGGCCGAUGUCUGAUUAGCUAGUUGGUGGGGUAAAGGCCCACCAAGGCGACGAUCAGUAGCUGGUCUGAGAGGACGAUCAGCCACACUGGGACUGAGACACGGCCCAGACUCCUACGGGAGGCAGCAGUGGGGAAUUUUGGACAAUGGGGGCAACCCUGAUCCAGCAAUGCCGCGUGUGUGAAGAAGGCCUUCGGGUUGUAAAGCACUUUUGUCCGGAAAGAAAUCCCUUGCCCUAAUACGGCGGGGGGAUGACGGUACCGGAAGAAUAAGCACCGGCUAACUACGUGCCAGCAGCCGCGGU
rnacentral:rRNA from 1 species